rnacentral:rRNA from 1 species
AACGAACGCUGGCGGCAGGCUUAACACAUGCAAGUCGAACGCAUCGCAAGAUGAGUGGCAGACGGGUGAGUAACGCGUGGGAACAUACCCUUUUCUACGGAGUAGCUCUGGGAAACUGGAAUUAAUACCGUAUACGCCCUACGGGGGAAAGAUUUAUCGGGGAAGGAUUGGCCCGCGUUGGAUUAGCUAGUUGGUGGGGUAAAGGCCUACCAAGGCGACGAUCCAUAGCUGGUCUGAGAGGAUGAUCAGCCACAUUGGGACUGAGACACGGCCCAAACUCCUACGGGAGGCAGCAGUGGGGAAUAUUGGACAAUGGGCGCAAGCCUGAUCCAGCCAUGCCGCGUGAGUGAUGAAGGCCUUAGGGUUGUAAAGCUCUUUCACCGAUGAAGAUAAUGACGGUAGUCGGAGAAGAAGCCCCGGCUAACUUCGUGCCAGCAGCCGCGGUAACAC